CAACCCUCGCCCUCUACGGUUACGGUCUCCCGAAUCCAAUUCCCCAACCUCCGACUGCAUGCUCAGCCAAUAAUUCGAGCUCCCUUGGUGACUUCGUCGAACCCCGUCUCGGCGCCAACCAGCCCUAAAGCCUAACUGGGAAGGCGGAUGGAUCCCUUGUCUGCCUUUUGUUGGUUGGACAGUGACUCGGCGCUGCAUGAUGACAUCGAUGGCGGCACCAGGAACCAGGCCAGAGGGAACAAUGAACAACUCCAGCGAUAGCACCCUCGCGUGUCACCGAUUUCGAGGAACAAAAUAAAUGUGGUUUGUCUGUGGGCGGAAUCGUCCCUUGCCGCUGCCGGUGAAAAGAUGACGCCAGGAGCCGAAUCCAUCUUUUUUUGAAAAUAAGAAGAGAAGUGUUUUUUUCGAAGUGACCCUCGCUGGACCAUCAUCAUAUCCAAAACCAACCGGCGUGGUAGGACUUUCAAAGACCCACCAAAACGAAAAAAAGAAAGAAAAACAACUUUCUAUGUUUCUUCAAAUAUUAAAGAGACCAAAGACUUUUGGGCUGGUUACUGUAUGACGAUCAAAUAUUCCUGUUAUUCCUGGCCUCUAUUCCCAAAACGCCUCUGUUAAGAAGAUAUAUUUCUUUUCUAUAUAUAAAGAAGACACUGCUCUAGUCAUUUCAAUGAAUACAAAAAACAAAAAGCCCAAGGCUUUCUUGCUUAUCUUUCAGUCGCCACGUGCCAAUGUUCGUGGACAGUAAUGCCGCCCACCUCAUUGCUCUCUAGAUCGCUACUGUCAUGCCCGCUGGACGCAGGAGUCUUCGAGGAACUAACCGCAGCGAAAUGUUUGCCCGCAACCGGCCUCAGCUGAUACUGCGAGCUGUUAUCAUUCAGUUGUUCGAAGCCGCCGCCACCACCGGGCCCGUUAUUUUUCGACGCGCCCGUGGAAUUAGCAGGGUAGCUUGUGUUGCUGCCGGAACCAUACUUGGGGCGCCGUAACAGAGGCCGUAAGAGCGGGAUGCAGGAUAGGGUGACAGCUACGCUGGGUUCGAGGCCGGAGAAGAUGUUUGCUGGGGGAAUGGAGUAGGUAAUAUCUGCGAAAUCCAUGGAGGAGAGUGUGUGGAUGCGGACAGCACUGACGACGCAGGUUCUGUGGGGUUGAACAGAUGGACCAGCUUUUUAUACAGCUGCAUCUGCAGCUUAGCCAGGUAUGGUAAGGGGAGGCACAACACCAAGAUGUCGGUGACAAGGUUAAAGACACCGGUAAUGGUGAAGGAGAGGACCUGGUCACCACAUUUUCCACCGGGGAUUGUCUGGUCCCAGUUAAAGGCGAAGGGACGGCAAAUGACACAACCUGCGACAAUGGUCGCGAUUGCCCAUGCAGCGAUGAACACCAUGGCGCCUCUGCCUACCCAGAUAACGGUCGCUACAGGGAAUACCUUGGCGUAAAGCAUGAGGAUGGACACUUUGCAGAAACUUAGACUGAGAACCCAGAGGAAUUGGAGCG
rnacentral:sRNA from 1 species